rnacentral:rRNA from 1 species
GACAGAGGGUGCAAACGUUGCUCGGAAUUACUGGGCGUAAAGCGCGUGUAGGCGGUCACGCAAGUCAGGUGUGAAAGCCCAGGGCUCAACCCUGGAAGUGCACAUGAUACUACGUGGCUGGAGUACUGAAGAGGAGAGCGGAAUUCCCGGUGUAGAGGUGAAAUUCGUAGAUAUCGGGAGGAACACCAGUGGCGAAGGCGGCUCACUGGUCCGGUACUGACGCUGAGGUGCGAAAGCGUGGGGAGCAAACAGG